GACGAACGCUGGCGGCGUGCUUAACACAUGCAAGUCGAACGGAAAGGCCCCUUUGGGGGUACUCGAGUGGCGCACGGGUGAGUAACACGUGCGUAACCUGCCCUUGACUUCGGGAUAACUUCAGGAAACUGGGGCUAAUACCGGAUAGGAAUCCUUGCUGCAUGGUGGGGGUUGGAAAGCUUCGGCGGUUUUGGAUGGACUCGCGGCUUAUCAGCUUGUUGGUGGGGUAGUGGCUUACCAAGGCUUUGACGGGUAGCCGGCCUGAGAGGGCGACCGGCCACAUUGGGACUGAGAGACGGCCCAGACUCCUACGGGAGGCAGCAGCGGGGAAUAUUGCACAAUGGGCGGAAGCCUGAUGCAGCAACGCCGCGUGCGGGAUGACGGCCUUCGGGUUGUAAACCGCUUUCAGCAGGGGCGAAGCUUGUGGUGACGGUACCUGCAGAAGAAGCACCGGCUAACUACGUG
rnacentral:rRNA from 1 species